UACGGGGGGGGCAAGCGUUGUUCGGAAUUACUGGGCGUAAAGAGCGCGCAGGCGGUCGGAUAAGUCGAAUGUGAAAGCCCCCGGCUCAACUGGGGAGGUCAUUCGAUACUGUUCGACUCGAAGGCAGGAGAGGAAGUGGAAUUCCCGGUGUAGUGGUGAAAUGCGUAGAUAUCGGGAGGAACACCAGUGGCGAAGGCGACUUCCUGGCCUGUUCUUGACGCUGAGACGCGAAAGCGUGGGGAGCGAACGAGG
rnacentral:rRNA from 1 species